rnacentral:rRNA from 1 species
AUGGAAACCACAAGGCUAUCCUUGCUCUCUCUUCUUCCGUUCCUUCUCCUCGCGACCGCUGCCGCGGCAACCGGCGGCGAGCUCAGCACGUUCAUCUUCCACGUGCAAGCAGAGGAGAAUCGCGUGUUUGGCACCGCGGACGACCGGAAGGCGUGGUACCACUCGUUCCUCCCCGACCAUGGCCGGCUCGUGCACGCAUACCACCACGUCGCGAGCGGGUUCGCGGCCCGGCUGACGUGGCAGGAGCUGGAGGCGGUGUCCCCCAUGCCCGGUUUCCUCAGCGCGACCCGCGCCCGGACGUACACCACGCUCACGACGCACACGCCCGAGUUCCUGGGGCUGAACGUCGAGCAGGGGCGGCGGAACUACACGUCGGAAUUCGGCGCCGGGGUCAUCGUCGGCCUCAUCGACACCGGCAUCUUCCCGGACCACCCGUCCUUCAGCGACGACGGCAUGCCGCCGCCGCCGGCCAAAUGGAAGGGGCGCUGCGACUUCAGCUGCACCUCGUGCAACAAUAAGCUCAUCGGCGCCCGCAACUUCGUCGCCGCCUUCAACGGCCCGAACGGCACCUCCGCGCGGGUGCCGCCUGUUGAUGAGUUUGGGCACUGGACUCACACCGCAAGCACCGCCGCUGGAGCGGUCGUGCCGGGCGCUAACGUGCUCGGCAACGCAUGGGGCACCGCUGCCGGGAUGGCGGUCCGCGCGCACAUCGCCAUGUACAAGGUGUGCUACGGAAAAGUCGUGAUAGGGUGCGAGGAUGCCGACAUACUGGCUGGCAUUGAUGCCGCCGUGGGCGACGGCUGCGACGUCAUCUCCAUAUCUCUCGGCGGGCCGUCGGUGCCCUUUCACCUAGACCCUAUGGCCAUCGGGACGUUCGGCGCCAUCGAGAAGGGCAUUUUUCUGGGCAACGGCGCGUAUUUCCACGGCGAGUCGCUCUACCAGCUAGACGCCGGCUUCUACCCGUUGGUCUACGCCGGUGCGAGCGGGAUGCCAUUCGCGGAGUUCUGCGGAAACGGCAGUUUGGACGGCUUCGACGUCAAGGGCAAGAUAGUGCUGUGUGAGCUCACGAGAAACAUUACGGUGAUCAACCAAGGUGAGGUGGUGGAGAGUGCCGACGGCGUCGGCAUGAUCUUGGCAAACCCGUUUUCCCGAGGGUACGACAAGUUAGCCCAGGCAAACGUUCUCCCGGCGUCGAGCGUCGACUACUACGCGGGCGCAGCCAUCAAAUUGUACCUCAACUCCACGGCGAACCCGGUCGUGCAUAUCGGUUUCAGGGGUACAGUACUCGGCACGUCACCUGGUCCGUCGAUCGUGUUCUUCUCCUCUCGGGGGCCUAGCCGUCAAGGCACGGGCGUUCUGAAGCCCGACAUCACGGGCCCCGGAGUGAACGUGCUCGCGGCAUGGCCGUUUCAGGUCGGCCCACCGUCGGCGCCGGUUCUUCCUGGGCCGACCUUCAACAUAAUCUCCGGCACGUCCAUGUCGACGCCGCACCUCGCCGGCAUCGCCGCUUUAAUCAAGAGCAAGCACCCGGACUGGUCGCCGGCGGCGAUCAAGUCGGCCAUGAUGACGACGGCCGACAUCACCGACCGCUCUGGCAGUCCAAUACUCAACGAGCAGCGCGUGACGGCCAACCUCUUCGCCACCGGCGCCGGACACGUCAACCCGAUGAAGGCCGCUGACCCUGGCAUAGUCUACGACAUCACCCCUGAGGAUUACAUCGGCUACCUCUGCAGCAUGUACACGAGCCAGCAGCUGUCGGUGAUCGCGCGCCGGCCGAUCGACUGCUUGACCACCGUCAUGAUCAGCGACCGCCUGCUGAAUUACCCGUCGAUCUCGGUCGCUUUCCCAGAGUCCUGGAAUUCGACGGCCCCGGUGGUCGUGAGGCGCAAGGUGAAGAACGUCGGGGAGGUGCCUUCGGUAUACUACGCGGUGAUCGACAUGCCGAGUAGCGCCGUAAGCGUGGACGUAUACCCGAGGGAGCUGGAGUUCAUCGAAGCGAACCAGGAGGUGAUCUUUUCGGUAUACGUGUGGCUGAGGCAGAGUGGUGCAAGGGUGGUGCAGGGUGAUCUACGGUGGGUAUCCGAGAAGCACACCGUCCGGAGCCCAAUCUCCGUCACCUUUGCUUGA